GCACUGCUUAAUGCCAGCGUUUAUAUGCACAAAAAUGGAGAUUAUUCUGUAAAAUAAUGUAGGAAGUAGUUUAACGUUGGCUCGAUCCACCCCCCUGCGUUUGGUUGAAUCCACAGCCACGGCACGUCGGGUUGGCUACGUCACGAGUUCCUUAAACCCAGCCCCCGAAAUUCUGAGAACUAAUUUAUAUUCCGUGAUUUGAGCAAUGUGCCGACUGGAUGGCGUUUCGUGGCAUUAAACACACCCCCCGUACACGUUAACCUACAGCACACAGGCGCGCGCCUCAAUCAGGCCCGCGCGGACGGGUCGAGGUGGCCGCGAGCUGUUCCGCUUAUUCGGAACCCUCUUUUGUAGCUAGUUUUCCUGCAGGUAUGCUGACUUCAUAGACGGGAGAAUACUGCGAAUCACCACUGGCGGUUUGUUAAAAAAUUAAAGAUUUAAUAGAUUUAUUAUCAAUAUAUAUAUAUAUAUAUAUUGUGUGGAAGGAAUUGUUGAGCGGUGUUGGUGUUCCCGGUUGUUAGUGCAUGGUUGGAUCAGUACUUAUUAGGUCCAGUUUUAUAUUCUCAUCUGUGCAUUUUAACGGUUUCAUUCGUCAAAGCUACUGUUUGUUUUUUAUUUUGCUCGCACUAUAGUGUUUAGUGUUUAGUGUAGGAGCGAUCCGCAGACACUAACUUCACUUCUUGAGCGCGUCACCAACCCAAAAACAUGACCUGAGCAGAGGAUGUGUAGCCUGCACAUCAAUCAGAAUCACGUGGUUUUGGUUUUGGGGUUAUUAAUGCUUAUACAUGCCAUUGUGGACAUCUUCUUGGUGUUUUGGGUGCCAUAAUGUACUUUUCCCUCGUAGCCCAUUUGGCCCGGUUUAUCUUGUUCCGUGGACCUCUUAUGUUUUGUAUUGAAGGGAGCACGCCUGUAUAAUCGUCCAUGUCAGAUAAUAUUCACACUUAACAAAUAACAUUGAAAUGCAUAGUAAAAGUUUCCUGGAAAAUGAAUUGACUGCGUUUCUUUUUUAAAUAUUUAUUACAAUACUACCUGUGCAUACUAUUUAAUUCAAGGCAUGUGUACUCCCUGUUGCAUCAUUUCUCAGAGUUAAACUUUUUAUUUUUUUACUUUUCAAUUCACUGAUGUGUUUUACUUUAUUCUCUUUCAGUUUAAAAAAGCUUCACCCGCUUGGUCUGUUAUCUUUUUUUGGCAGUGAGGAGACGUUUCCUUACUUCCCAGUGUGUGUAAAUGAGAGCUGGUUUGGAUAUGCACAUCGACCACGGACUCCCCGUCUUUUCUCAUCCCGCUCACCCCCUGGCACAGGAGGAGCAUUUGCUGAGCUGGUGGCACACGACACAAACAAAGUUUACACAUGUCGCUAGAAGAUUUAUUGGUGCAUAUCGCAAAGGCAAAAAUACACACUCCAUUUAUUUGAUCUCCAGCAGUUAGUGUUGCAAAAUGACACACAAAGGAACUCUGGAUUUAUUUUCUCCCACUUAUAACAACGUUUUAUUAUUAAAUUUUUUAAUAAUAUAGUUCAUAUCAUAUUUAGAUCAGCCUACACAAAUAUAUUUGAUAUUUAUAUAUAUAUCAGCCUACAUAGGACUUUAAAACCCUCCACACCUCGAUGUUUAUUUGGUUUGAUCGAGUCUUUGAGAAAAUACAUCUGAUUGUGUUUUGAUAAAGCUGAAGAUGUUUGUUAUUUCCCAGUUAAUCGACAGAGAUGUUCGUCCGACUAGGUGAGAGAUUUACACUAACAUAUAAAAUAUAUACUUGAUACCAGUGUCACUUCUCUACUGAAGUAAAAUGGAGUGUGAUUAGGGAAAUGUGAGCAGCAUCCGCCCAUCUGGAUCCAGCAUCCCACAUUAAAGAACAAAAAAAAAAAAAGCACUCCAGGUGUUGACAAACCAUUGGGAGGAGAGAAGUCUCCAAAAUAAUUAAGACGCGCUUUCACAGCAACCCCCCCGAUUCAGCACUGCCAGAUAAAGACUGCGUUGAGUUCCAAACAAAGAGCAGCGUCAACUUUAUUCCAAUCCACUCGGGGGAUGUUUAAGGCGGCUCCGGCGCCGUUAUGCAUUAUGCACGGCCAUAAAGCAUCCAGGAGUUGGGGGGAGAGAUGUGUAAUUUAACCGAGGCCCUGUAGAAGGAUGAGAUAAUUACCCUAAAUCCGUGGCUAACUUUAACUCACCCGAUUCUUAGCAGAGGACGGGACAGAGGAAGAGGUGAUCGAUAUCGGUCCGUCAGAAGCGAUCGGGACAUUUGACACACUGUGAACAGGCUGCGUGAUUAACCAGAGGGGCCGUGGCGUUCAGGGACAAUCCCAAAGCAGCUUGUGACAGGGAUCCAAGCCCCAGCUGCACGGUCGAAAAAGAGAGGCUGAUAGAGUGUGAAGAGAUCUCUAAAGCCGUAUCAUUGCCUACACUCGCUGCACGAUAGGUCAUUGAAUAGAAAAUGCCCACUGACAAAAGCCCCGAGGCCCGGAGGUUGCCUCACUUCUUUCUUUUUUUCUUUCUUCAUAAACUGCACACUUUUGUCUCGUUUCACAGCAAAUUUCUGCCAACUUCAGUGUUCAUUGUCAGCAAAGAUGUGAGUGUGGAGUUUUGUUCUGAGAGGCAUGAUGCAAGCGCGCUGUAACACCAAACAGAUAAUGCUGUUAGCUACAGAGGUCUUUUUUAGUUCCCAUUCUUUAAAAGAAUUUUCUUCUUGUAUUGUUAAGUUUUACUUUUUCUUUUCUCUUUUUUUAACUCCGUGCAUCCCGGCAGCAUUUCGUUUUGUCCUUUUGUCCACGACAAAAGUCGCCUUAUUUCAAACACCUUUCCCUGCAGAUCCACCCUGCUAAAAUAGGUCCGUGAAAGGCAGUGUGUGUUUGAACAAAAGAUCUGUUCCUCUGUCUUAUUGUAUGUAUUCACGCUGUUUCCUCAAAUCGUCUAUUUGUGCAGAAGACUAAUGGCAUACAUCAUUUAUUACUUCAGUUAAAGAACCCGACGUGUAAUAAUAAAUAGAAGAAUUCACUGAUGCCACAUCAAAAGAUUCUUCCGAGCAGGUAAUGAUGAGAGCACUUCACUUGGAAGCGUGCCUCUCCUUUUUUCCCUUUCUUUUAAUUAACAAGCAAACUGGCAAGUUCUACUCCGACAUGACAAUCAUGUCGGUUUUGCAACAAAGCCGCUGCGUGUCUCUGCGAUGACACACUCCGGGUUUGGAAGAUGGCUUUCAUCCCGCUUGACGGGGUUAAGGCGAGGCACUACAGGCAAAACGACUCUGGUCAAUUCAGAGACGCGAGGCUGUUUUGCUUUUGUCUCCUCUCAGACCGGUGGGAAUAAAACAAUCCUGAAUACACAUUCAGCUGAUGGUUUAACCGCUUUUUCUAAAUUCACCAACAACUUGACAUAUAAUAAUGCGUCAGUUCCAUAUUGUUGAUAAAACUAAUGAUCUCAAUAUAAGUGAUUUACUGGGAAAGUGUAACAUGUUAGUGACGUUUUUCACCUGUAGUGUCUUGAUGUAAUGUGAGGCAUUUCACAGAACAUUCCUUUAAAGGGCGUCUUCUUGAAAUAAGUGUUUUGUCAGACUGAUGCAACUGAUCUCCACCAAACUUUCCACUUUCAUUCCUCUUUAUAUUCUGAAGGAUUUUCUAAAAAGAUUUGUUUGUACAUCAUUCAUAGCUUGAUUCGUACAUCUUAUUUGUAAAAAACUAGGCGUCCCUCUAUUUCGGUUUCAUCUGAUGUUCAGAUUUCUGUUCUGGAAAUAUAUGCAGAUGCAUGCAUAUUUAAUGAGAUACUUCGUCAUUUGCAUAUAUAAACGCGCAAUUUCGGAACACGUGUAGUACAGAAAGCCAUUGUCUUAACAUAGACAAUCCACCGGGGAAGUUUCACGGUGAGGUCGGUGAGUUCAAUGCAUCCCUUGUUCACCUGUGGUGUCUCUGCUUCAGCACACCAGCACUAGUGAACAACGGAUGCUUUUUGUAUAACCGAGCGUGACCUUUUUGCCGAUGGCGUCUCUUUAGAUCGUUUCCCUCUUUCUGAACACGUCAAGGGUUUACUUGAAAGUUCUGCAUGUGUUGUGAAGCAGCAGCAACCUAAAAAGCUGUAAAAGCUUCCCUUUUCCCAUAAUGCUCAAUCAGUCAUUUCGACAAAAGAAAACACGCACACACCAAAUAGAACAAUUUCAAAAACGACUUAGGAGUAACUUCCUGCAGCGUGCCUGUGUGGGUGACCUUGAGCUCGGCGGCGUCCCCGUGCAUGCUCUACGCGCUGAGGUCAGAGGAGCGUUAGUGGGCUAGAAUUUCAAUUUGGUGGAAAUCAAAGCAUGUAGAUUUGGGACUCUCCCAAGGCCGGCUGAGAGCAGAAAUGCAGCCCGGCGGAAUCUGUGAAAUUUUCCACGCAUUCCAGAAACGGUCGCUGGGCAGUGUGCCAUCUGCUGGAUGACGGGGUGGGUUACUAUCACGGACAGCACAUGCACCCAGCGGUCCUGGUGAUAGCGUUCGAGCGGUAUGCAAGUGGGUCUUAUUCCUCUCUGCACCUCCCUCAGUGAUGAUCCAAUAAGAAUUCUACAUGUGAGUCAAGCCCACUGUUCCUGAAGCGCUGUCCCGACCCUGGUUACCGUCAGGCUGGAGAUAUCAGGGUUUGUGUUGGCUCAUUUGUUUUAUUUGGCUUAAGGAGCACGUUUUCCUCUGCUUACACAUGUAAGCACUGAUGAGCAGACAGUGGUCCAAUAUAGUGUAACCCAAGUAAUGGAUUUGUGUUUUCAAGUUCUUACGCUCUCCCAGCAAACUAUUUUAAAAGGAACAUUUCUCCCCAAAAGAAGAGAAAAUGGUUCCUUCAUGAAGCUCACAAAAAGGUGUGUGAAUUAAAAUGAUUAACUGGAUCAUGAUUUCCCGAAAGAGACAUCGCUUUCUUUUAUAGUCGCCUCAAGCAUCACAAGCUAAGCUCCAUGUGGUUCCAAAAUAUCGGAAAUAUGAUUGAUUCCUCUUCUGUCGCCUCAAUGGGUGAUGGUCAGAACACAUACAGAACCCAAUGGACCAUGUCAGUAGCAAUUAAAUUCUAUUUUGAAAAUCGUAUAAUAAUAUACAAUUCUCUCACUUGUGUCUAUGUAGAUUUUCCUGCUCAGAUUCUCAGAUUCGUUUCCAAUGCGAUUGACCACUUUUGGGACGUUUGGACAACUCUGUGUUUUUCCCGAACCGGCACCCAGUGAUUUGAAGGGUCCAGCUGAUGCGACUCGCACAAAUAGAAAGUUGUGCCCAACGGAGCACGCAUAAGCUCUCCAUUAGCUGUGUUUAGUCAAUACGUGGAGCAUUUCUUCUGUAUUUUUCCAGUGCACAGGUGGAAUCUGUCAUUGUCAACAUGUUUAUGGCCACGAACAUAAAUGCUGCUGAACUGGUUUCACUUAUUUGUGUCGUAUGACUGCAUGCACGGGACUGGUUACACGCAAGCACUGUAUGAAUCAUAGACGCGAAACAUAGACGUAAAAUAGCAUCAGGGUUUGCAGAAAGUCAUUCCACUCGGUUGACUCCGUACGUCCUGCUUAUCUCUCUUUCCUCUCCGUUCCAGUUUCACAUUCAGCAAUAUCAAAUUCUCCUGUGUGACAUUGGGUCCACUGCCGAGUCAAAAGUGGCGGCCGGCCUCUGAAGAGGUAACUGCUGGUGCUGGUCUGCAGGGCUGGUAAAACUGGAAGAACAUGCACCCGGCGCACCCACCACCUGCAGCUCUCUGCGUCUCUACGGCUGCUGCCUUGGAAAAAAACUGGGUUGUUCUGUGUAGAACAUUGUUGGACGUCAUGUUAAAAACUUUCCAAAAAGGUCCAGUGCAAUAAAGACUUUCUAUCAUA